rnacentral:rRNA from 1 species
GAUGAACGCUGGCGGCGUGCCUAAUACAUGCAAGUCGAGCGAACAGACGAUAAGCUUGCUCCUCUGACGGUAGCGGCUGACGGGUGGGUGACACAUGCAUAACAUACCUAUAAGCCGGGGAGAACUUCGGGAAACCCGAUCUAAUAACGGAUCAUAUGUUGUAACGCUUAGAUCAAUAGUUAAAGACACUUUUUGUGUCUCAUAUAGACGGUUCCGCACUGCAUUAUCUAUGUGGUAAGGUAACGGCUUACCAAGGCAACGAAGCGUAUCUGACCUGAUAGGGUGCUCAGCCACACUGGAACUGAGACACGGUCCAGACUCCUACGGGAGGCAGCAGUAGGGAAUAUUACGCAAUGGGCGAAAGCCUGACGGAGCAACGCCGCGUGGGUGAUGAAGGUCUUCGGAUCGUAAAACUCUGUUAUUAGGAAAGAAAAGAAGUAUAAGAAACUAUCGACGUCUUGACGGUACCUAAACAGUAAGCCACGGCUAACUACGUG